GGAACCACCAUCCAGCUUCCAUGCCUAGGCCUAUGAGCCAUGAACGAUCGCAAAUGGCAUGCAAGCAGCCCGAUCCCUCACCAGCUUUGCUGGGCCAAAGGGUUAAAGUUGAGACAGGAGCGCAACUUUAUAGGCCUUCAAGAACUUCACUCGAUGUCUAAAUAAAAAUAUAGAGAGAAGUUAAUGAUUAUAAAGAAUCACACUGGUCAAACUCAUGCAGAUGGGCCUUCAGAGUUUGACGCCCUAUUGCUCACCGUUAAGUACAUAUGCACUUUGAACCAACGAAGAAUGCAGAUUUCAGGGUUCAGACUCUAAAGUAGUAGUCGCCGAAGAAUGCCUGAUCUUCAACAUUUCAGUUUUUGGAGCGAGGCUAAGGACAGCUUGGGCUGGUUUGUAUCAUGCUCGGUGGGUGCUACUGACCAACGCUAUCAUACUUGAAUGUAAUUCGGUUACAAUAAUUAGUUGGAUCCAAAAAAGUACUGAAGACAUUGGUAGUUGCUACCUCCUACUCCGGACAUGUG
rnacentral:lncRNA from 1 species